CGGGUAGUGGUGCAGUUUGGUAGCAUACGUGCUUUGGGAGCACGGGGUCGCAGGUUCAAAUCCUGCCUACCCGACGA
rnacentral:tRNA from 1 species